UACAGAGGGUGCAAGCGUUAAUCGGAAUGACUGGGCGUAAAGGGUGCGUAGGUGGAAUGGUAAGUCAGAUGUGAAAGCCCCGGGCUUAACCUGGGAAAGCCAUUUGAUACUAUUAUUCUAGAGUCUAGGAGAGGGAAGUGGAAUUUCCGGUGUAGCGGUGAAAUGCGUAGAGAUCGGAAGGAACAUCAGUGGCGAAGGCGACUUUCUGGCCUAAGACUGACACUGAGGCACGAAAGCGUGGGUAGCGAACAGG
rnacentral:rRNA from 1 species